rnacentral:SRP_RNA from 1 species
GCUGGGCGUGGUGGUGCAUGCCUGUAAUCCCAGCUACUCGGGAGGCUGAGGCAGGAGAAUUGCUUGAACCUGGGAGGCGGAGGUUGCGGUGAGCUGAGAUCGCGCCAUUGCACUCCAGUUUGGGCAACAAGAGCGAAACUCCAUCUCAAAAAAAAAAAAAAAAAAAAGAAAGAAAUAUUGUGUGCAAAGGCAAUGUCUUUUUUUUGUUUGUUUGUUUUGAGACCGAGUUUCGCUCUUGUUGCCCAAGCUGGAGUGCAAUGGCGCGAUCUCGGCUCACCACAACCUCCGCCUCCCGAGUUCAAGUGAUUCUCUUGUCUCAG